GGAGAGACCGGCCGCGAACUUUAACGCUCUCAGUCCACGUAAAGCGAGCGCGCGUCUGCUCGCGUCGCGCGCGGACGGGCCAAGUCAGCUGUGAUUCGCGAGGUAAAAUUUAAAAAAAAAAAAAAAGACGGAGUGCGUGCGUGCGUAUGCCAAGGAAUUAUCGACGAUACGCGGCUCCGGAGUGUCCAUGUCCAACUCGUUUUCGCGUCAGCGAAGAUGCGUCGCGACAGGAGAAGAUAAAGCGGUUCAUCUCGACAGGUCCUGAUGACGCGAUGCAGCCUGCUACGAGUGUCGCGAAGACGUCGUGACAGCGGAAGGCCGCGCAUCACACGGAACGACCUACCGAUCAUGAUCCGGAAGUGUUUCACCUUCCUAAAAUCAGAUAUCCCGAAACACUCGCGAGAGUGUCUCGCUCCCUACUCGUGUUCUCAUACGUUUGAUCUCUUGUCCGGCGGAGGAUCAUAAUGCUAGAGCCGAUUCUGGGAACAUUGUCGAUUUGGUGGUUGGUGGUGUACGCCAACAUUCUACUGCUACUGUCGCCCUUGGUGCUGCUGAUGAUCGUCUUCCUCCCCAAUUUCCCGAUUCUGCUGCUGCGGAGAAUCUGUUACAUACCAAUCGAGUCGAUCUGACCAAGAUCAAUCGAUGUCGCAUCGUAUCAUCGCAGCUUCACAUUUAUAAUACACUCUAUUUUUUAUAUAUCACAUACAAUAAUAUGGUUGAGAAAAAUCAAAUUGAAUUAAGUAAUUUCGAGUGGUUUAGAUUUAAGUCGUUCAUUUUUAAGCAUCAAAAAAAAUGUAUAAGUGCUAAUUAUUAUGAUUAAAAAUUUUUACGACGCAUGUUGCGGUAUCGCUGAUACAAAUCAAGUGUCAUUCAUUCAUCAGCCAUUAUUGCAAUAUGUUAAUAUGUUGAUAUGUUAAUAUAUAGACACAGAUCAUUAUUGUAAUGCAUUUGUUGAGCUGCGAAUAAUCAUUUUUAUGCGCUGGACUAGUGAAUCUAUUAUUUCCACGUGUAUAUGCUGAUGCUCAGAUGUAUCGAUUUAUCUAACUAUAAUAUGAUAUCAAUUCGAA